rnacentral:rRNA from 1 species
AGCUACAGGCCUAACACAUGCAAGUCGAGGGGCAGCAUGGUCUUAGCUUGCUAAGGCCGAUGGCGACCGGCGCACGGGUGAGUAACGCGUAUCCAACCUGCCUUACACUCUUGGACAGCCUUCUGAAAGGGAGAUUAAUACAAGAUGUUAUCAUGAGUAAGCAUUUUCGCAUGAUUAAAGGUUUACCGGUGUAAGAUGGGGAUGCGUUCCAUUAGAUAGUAGGCGGGGUAACGGCCCACCUAGUCUUCGAUGGAUAGGGGUUCUGAGAGGAAGGUCCCCCACAUUGGAACUGAGACACGGUCCAAACUCCUACGGGAGGCAGCAGUGAGGAAUAUUGGUCAAUGGACGAGAGUCUGAACCAGCCAAGUAGCGUGAAGGAUGAAGGUUCUAUGGAUUGUAAACUUCUUUUAUACGGGAAUAAACGAAUCCACGUGUGGAUUUUUGCAUGUACCGUAUGAAUAAGGAUCGGCUAACUCCGUGCCAGCAGCCGCGGUAAUACGGAGGAUCCGAGCGUUAUCCGGAUUUAUUGGGUUUAAAGGGAGCGUAGAUGGGUUGUUAAGUCAGUUGUGAAAGUUUGCGGCUCAACCGUAAAAUUGCAAUUGAUACUGGCAGUCUUGAGUACAGUUGAGGUAGGCGGAAUUCGUGGUGUAGCGGUGAAAUGCUUAGAUAUCACGAAGAACUCCGAUUGCGAAGGCAGCUUACUAACCUGUAACUGACAUUGAUGCUCGAAAGUGUGGGUAUCAAACAGGAUUAGAUACCCUGGUAGUCCACACGGUAAACGAUGAAUACUCGCUGUAGGCGAUAUACAGUCUGCGGCCAAGCGAAAGCAUUAAGUAUUCCACCUGGGGAGUACGCCGGCAACGGUGAAACUCAAAGGAAUUGACGGGGGCCCGCACAAGCGGAGGAACAUGUGGUUUAAUUCGAUGAUACGCGAGGAACCUUACCCGGGCUUAAAUUGCAACCGAAUAUGGCGGAAACGCUAUAGCUAGCAAUAGCGGUUGUGAAGGUGCUGCAUGGUUGUCGUCAGCUCGUGCCGUGAGGUGUCGGCUUAAGUGCCAUAACGAGCGCAACCCUUGCCGAUAGUUACUAACAGGUCAUGCUGAGGACUCUGUCGGGACUGCCAUCGUAAGAUGUGAGGAAGGUGGGGAUGACGUCAAAUCAGCACGGCCCUUACGUCCGGGGCUACACACGUGUUACAAUGGGGGGUACAGAGGGCUGCUACCACGCAAGUGGAUGCCAAUCCCAAAAACCUCUCUCAGUUCGGAUUGAAGUCUGCAACCCGACUUCAUGAAGCUGGAUUCGCUAGUAAUCGCGCAUCAGCCACGGCGCGGUGAAUACGUUCCCGGGCCUUGUACACACCGCCCGUCAAGCCAUGGGAGCCGGGGGUACCUGAAGUGCGUAACCGCAAGGAGCGCCCUAGGGUAAAACUGGUGACUGGGGCU